rnacentral:lncRNA from 1 species
GUCAACAUGCAGUUUUGUAGCCAGUUUGAAAAAUAUCACAACACUAGUCACCAUACAUAAUUUUAGUCAAAACUUUCAAUCCAAGAUAAGAUUAGAUAAGAUGAGUCAGCACUUAAAGCUGACAGAGGCCUUGUGCAUAUAGCCCGGGCGAAGCGUCGUCUUCGCAAAUCUGUCUGAACUGAACUGAUUUCAAUACAAGAAAAAUGCAUUUUCAUGUUUUGGUAACAAUGUACAGCACAGAGAUCGUUUCCUUGAGAAAUACAAUGCUGUUUCCUAAUUUACUCUACUCUGAUGAUAAUGCUCCAUGUAGUAAGGUAUCUCAGGGGAUCAUCUCAGGUCAGUACUACAGGCCUAAAUGGAGCUGCUGACACCUGUCCUUAACCCAUUCGCGACGGAUGAUGUGCUGACACGUUUUGUGGUUUUUGCGUCAGACGCCGGUGAAGAAAAAAUAUCUGGGCAAGGCCAGCGCUUGGGUGAGCCGGGUGGCGAGCAGGCAGCCCAGGCUCGCGGCUUGUGCACCCGAGACCCUUGAGGCGUUAGGCUUAUACGUUCAAAAACCCCGGCAUUACAACCAUUCAAAGCCGGAAUCGCCCCGGUGUGAAUGGGUUAUGGGGUUAAUAUAUUUUGUUUUCUAUCCUUUUCUAGACUUAUGAUAUGAUAAACAAAUCUAUUUUUAAUAUAUUAGCA